AUAUAGGACAACAAACGUCGUGUUGAACAGUUGAAAUGUGAAGAACCUUCUUAGAAACGCCUCCAGGUUACUGAUUAUGGCCACACGAACUUGGGCCCAGGAUGCUUUACGGUGUCGUCUCUGUGAGAGUCAGACCCCGGUCCCCGCUAUGUACUGUGACAUUUGUUCCAUACAUCUGUGUAAAGCCUGUGUGGGAGAACAUCUCUCUGAUGAUUCCAAAGAACCCAAGAGAUUGCUGCUAAAUCCUGUUUAAAAACUCCAGGAAAUUGACAACAGCUAUUGAUAAACAUAGAGAAAACUUGCACAGAGAAAUCGACACCGUUAUCCAAAAACUAAAAUCAGAUCUUGGUGAAAUGGACUCUAGAUACCUGACUGUCCUUAAUAAACAAUAGGAUGAAAUCAAAUGCACCAUAUCUGAAAUCAAAAGGAUCUCAUCCGAACUGAAGGAAAUACUUAACUCCAAUAAUGUCAGUCUUGUCUCUGCCUAUAAAUCCAGGAAUGAUGAAUUCAGAGGAUUGCCUCCAAAACUCACCAAGUUUUACUCCUCAGAAGAUCAACAAAGAAGAGCUUUAUCAACAGUUUGGUUCUUUGUCAGCUUUAUUAAUCAGAACAAAAGAACAUUGCUACAUCAUGGAUUCUCCCGGUGCUGGGUCCUCUCCUCCGGACAGAUCACUGAGACUCAUGAUCAUCACAGACAUUAGCACCGAGUAUAAUUUUUCUAACCGAUUACGCAGUGUUUCAUGUCUGAAUGAUGAAGAUAUAUGGAUGUGUGGUGAUGACAAAAUAAUGAUACUCUACAACAUCCGAGAGAAACUAGUGAAGUCAGUCAAAACCAAGUCAUCGAACACUCCAUGGGACAUAGCAGUGACAAGGAGUGGGGAUCUAAUUUACACUGAUUACUGGGAUAGAAUUGUGAACAUAGUGAACAAUACACAGAUACAGACAGUGAUCAGACUACAGGGGUGAAGACCUCACAGUGUCUGUAGUACCUCCUCUUGUGACUCCUGGUUGUCAUGGUCAGUGAUAAUUAUAAACAAACAAAAGUUGUGUGUUACUCUGGUUCCCAUUGAAAAAAAGUAUUCAGUUCGAUGACAAAAAACAACCUCUCUUUACAACUUAUGGUUAUAAAUACAUUAGUGAGAACAGAAAUCUGGAUAUCUGUGUGUCAGACCGUGGAGCCGGUGCAGUAGUGGUGUUCAAUCAGGCCUGGAAACUCCGGUUUACCUACACUGGUGCUCCUUCUAAGACAUCAUUUAAUCCAAGAGGCAUCACAACAGACAGCCAGGGUCGGAUUCUGACAGCAGACUUUAACAACUGCUGUAUCCAUAUCCUGGAUCAGGACGGACAGUUUCUCCGCUACAUUGACAACAGUUACUGUGAUUUAGACGGUCCUUGGGGCUUAUGUGUUGACACCAGAGACAACCUCUUUGCGGCUGUCCCGGCUUUAUGUAAAGUGAAGAAAAUCCAAUAUUACAUGUAAACAAACUUUAAUAAACUGCAAUGUUAAACUACCGGUACAUGUUUAAACAGUGACAGAGUGACUGUGAAUGGUAAAUAGAUUGAAUCAGUUUAUAUUAUCAAUUCACACACUGACUGUAUGUAUCUAUUUAAUGUAAACAGACUAAUUGAAUCACGUUAUAGUUGUAAAUAAACUUUUUAUUAAUUUAUUUAGUAAUUUGUUGAAAUCUAUCGAAUUUAUAGGUCCCAUUAAGUUAAAUGUGAAUAAACAAAUAAUUUAGAAACCC
rnacentral:sRNA from 1 species